rnacentral:rRNA from 1 species
CGGAGGGGCUAGCGUUGUUCGGAAUUACUGGGGCGUAAAGCGCACGUAGGCGGACCGGAAAGUCAGAGGUGAAAUCCCAGGGCUCAACCUUGGAACUGCCUUUGAAACUCCUGGUCUUGAGGUCGAGAGAGGUGAGUGGAAUUCCGAGUGUAGAGGUGAAAUUCGUAGAUAUUCGGAGGAACACCAGUGGCGAAGGCGGCUCACUGGCUCGAUACUGACGCUGAGGUGCGAAAGCGUGGGGAGCAAACAGGAUU